GCAGAAGUGCUCUUCUUGGGACAAUUUAGCACGACAGUUGUUGUGCUUGGAGCUAUAUUUGGCAUCACCAAUACCUUUCGACCAUUCUCAGAUGAUAUCUUUCGUUACAAAUUUGAGGAACCAUUUAAGUUGCAAAAUGGUUGGCUUUUGUGGGCUGGAAUCGGCAUCCUUGUUGCAAUAAUUUCUAUUGCUUUAGCUGGAGCUGCAAUGACAUUUCUGAAUGGUGAAACGCCACAGAGAGAGGUAUGUAUGCUUCCAUAACUAUCUAUUAUCCAUCUUAUUGAUUAGUUUGAAUGUUCGCAAUGUCCUUACUA